UUUGUAUUCAUUGUGCGAAGCAGAAUGAAUACAGAGUUAUAAGUACAAUCUCAAAAAAAGGUAGGCAGAGUGGAUUUGCUGAACAGCAUCCAUCCGCUUAUACGUCCGUGACAUAAAGUAGUUCAUGAUUUGCACUUAAAUCGCUUUAAGCAUACGCUAAGCGAUGACUUAUCCGUCCCAAUGUUGCAAAAAAUUAUGUUAAAGUUUUUUCUACCCGAAAAUCAUGCACUUUAUUCAUGUUUGACAUCUAAAAACAUCGAUAAAAAUUUCCUGUAUUUCUACGCUACAAAUUAUUAUUAACGCAUGCGCAGACUCACAAUAAUUUAUCCAAGAGAACAACACGUAAGAGAAAUUGCUCAGGAAAGAAUCAACAACCAUCGCACAUAUUGUUGACUGUAACCUUUUUGUCGUGGGUAUUGUAGCGGAUAUUCCUUGUGACGGAAAUAAAAGAUUAUUUACUUUAAUAUUCACUUGGAAAGGCUGGUACAUGUAGCUAGAAAAAGUACAGUAUAAGAUUAAAGAAAGACUAGAAGAUUAUUACAAACAACAGGUACUUAUAUAAUAUUUAAUGUAUAUUUCA